rnacentral:rRNA from 1 species
UUACAAUGAAGAGUUUGAUCCUGGCUCAGGAUGAACGCUAGCUACAGGCUUAACACAUGCAAGUCGAGGGGCAGCAGAUCGAAAGCUUGCUUUUGAUGCUGGCGACCGGCGCACGGGUGAGUAACGCGUAUCCAACCUUCCCUAUAGUAGAGAAUAGCCCGGCGAAAGUCGGAUUAAUGCUCUAUGUUGUAUUUAGA